GGGGAUAUAGCUCAGUUGGGAGAGCGCGUCAAUCGCACUGACGAGGCCAGGGGUUCGAGUCCCCUUAUCUCCA
rnacentral:tRNA from 1 species